AUUGAACGCUGGCGGCAUGCCUUACACAUGCAAGUCGAACGGUAACAGGGAGCUUGCUCCGCUGACGAGUGGCGAACGGGUGAGUAAUGUAUCGGAACGUACCAUUCAGUGGGGGAUAACGUAGCGAAAGUUACGCUAAUACCGCAUAUUCUGUGAGCAGGAAAGCAGGGGAUCGCAAGACCUUGCGCUGAUUGAGCGGCCGAUAUCAGAUUAGCUAGUUGGUGAGGUAAAGGCUCACCAAGGCGACGAUCUGUAGCGGGUCUGAGAGGAUGAUCCGCCACACUGGAACUGAGACACGGUCCAGACUCCUACGGGAGGCAGCAGUGGGGAAUUUUGGACAAUGGGGGCAACCCUGAUCCAGCCAUGCCGCGUGAGUGAAGAAGGCCUUCGGGUUGUAAAGCUCUUUCGGCCGGGAAGAAAUCGUAUGGGUUAAUACCCUGUGCGGAUGACGGUACCGGCAUAAGAAGCACCGGCUAACUACGUG
rnacentral:rRNA from 1 species